rnacentral:rRNA from 1 species
UACGGGGGGAGCAAGGCGUUGUUCGGAUUUACUGGGCGUAAAGGGCGCGUAGGCGGCGCAACAAGUCACUUGUGAAAUCUCCGGGCUUAACUCGGAACGGUCAAGUGAUACUGUUGUGCUAGAGUGCGGAAGGGGCAACUGGAAUUCUCGGGUGGUAGCGGGUGAAAUGCGUAGAUAUCGAGAGGAACACCUGCGGCGAAGGCGGGUUGCUGGGCCGG